UUAACUUCGUAAAAUCUUCACAAAAGAUUAUUAUUGCACGAAUUUUAUUUUUUUAUGAAGUUUAAGCUGAGCACAAGAUUUCUGAAAGUUCAGAUUCUCAUAUAAAGUUUAGAAUUUGAAAGAAAGUUUAAAACAAU
rnacentral:lncRNA from 1 species